AGUGGUUCUUUUGCCCUCAUGCUCUAAUUGUGCUCUUACGUCUUCACAAGAAUUACGCCCAUCAUCAGGUUAGUCUUGACUCUUGAGACCUAUCCUAAUAUUCUUAAAUCGAGUGCUAGCAAAAAGUUUUUUUUAAAAAAGGUGCAAAUAUGAUCCUUCCGGAGUACCAAUAUAGGGUGACUAUUUUGCUAGUUUUAGGA